GGUCAAACGGGGGAUUUUUGAAGAGCAGAAGUGUGAUUUUCACGUUAAAUGGGGGAUUUUCCACAAGAAAGUGUAUGGGGGACUUUGGAAGAGAAAUUGCAUUUUCUUCUGGUCAAAUGGGGGAUUUUCGAAGAGCAACUGCAUGAUUUUCGUUUACUUUGAGAUUUUUGUAGAGGAAAUGCGUGAUUUUUUGAAACAUGGGGGACUCUUGUAGCAAAAAAGUUUGAUUUUGGGGUCAAACGGGGGAUUUUUGAGAGCAGAAGUGUGAUUUUCACGUUAAAUGGGGGAUUUUCCACAAGAAAAUGUGUGAAUUUGGGGGAUAAUGGGUAUUUUUGAAGAGAUAAUGCAGGAUUUUGGGGGUAAAUGUGAGAUUUUCCAGAGAGAAAGGCAAGAUGUUCGGGUGGGGGACUUUUUUUUUUUUGGGUUUUU
rnacentral:lncRNA from 7 species